UCCACCUACAUCCACACCUCCACCUACAUCCACCUCUGCUCCUGGUUCCACCUCCAUCACUCUUCCUCCAUCACUCUCUCCUCCUGUUAUCUCUGCAUUAUCAUGUGUUGGAUCAGUCUGUGUUGUGGUUCUACUGGUGUUGGUGGUUCUGCUGAGAAAACGAUGUGUUCACAGGAAACCAGAAGCAGAUAAAGAAGAACCCGAAGAAGAUGCCAUCCCCAAUGACAUCACAUACAGUGACAUCAAAAUAUUAAAUAAUCGACAAAAGCCAAUCAAGGAAAGAAGAGACAGUGAUCCAGCUACAGUUUACUCAGCAGUGAGAACUGAAGACGUCACUUGUGGAAAAAUCCUCAUCAAAGAAGAAGAAAUCAAAUCUGGGAGGCUUGAGAUCGGCAGUGGCAGGGUUGAAGAGUUUCUUUGUUUGUUUUUGUUUUGUGUGUGUGUGUUUGCGGGUUAAAUUCAACCAUUUGUGAAACAGAAAAUUGUGAGAACAUCAGUCAAACAGUCAGAAUAUGGAACAGUUCUUGUCCAACAGUCCAGUUUUUUGUACACAUGCUCUGAUGUGCAGCAAGUGUGUGAAUGCUCCUCGCAGACUCAUCUCCCCACACAAGUUAUCAGCAGGAUUAUUGAGAUUUAUUAUUGAUAUGAGACUAAACAAAGCAAUUGUCUUCUAGUAUCAAAUAUCAUUCUGAAGUUCUGCAUGUGAAACCACAGCAGCUCCUUCCUGUUGUUCACUCCACCUAAUCUGAAGCAGGUGACACUCCUCACCAGUUUGUUCUACUCAGGCUAAUAAAAGUGUUCAUGCCAUGUGAUCAUGUUUGCUUUGUGGUCUGUGGGGAAGUUUGUCAGUUCUAAUUUAAAAGAGAUGGCAGCUUUGUGGUCGUCCACUUGUCUUUGUCUGGUUCCUCAACCAGGAACAAUUUUCCAUGGGAGACCCCACCG